rnacentral:lncRNA from 1 species
GGGGUUGUAUGUUGGUAUUUCGAUAUCCUACUGAUAGAGUUUGUGCAUUGGUACUUCGAUACUCUACCAGUGGAGGUUGUACAUUAGUAUUUUGAUAUCCUACCAAUAGAAGUUGUGUUGGUGUUUCGAUAAGCUAGCAGUGGAUUGUGUGCUGAUACUUUGAUACCUGCUAGUGGGGGUUAUGCAUUAAUUAGUAUUUCGAUAUCUUGGU